rnacentral:rRNA from 1 species
UACGGGGGGAGCAAGCGUUGUUCGGAUUUACUGGGCGUAAAGGGCGCGUAGGCGGCCAGCACAAGUCAGUUGUGAAAUCUCCGAGCUUAACUCGGAAAGGUCAACUGAUACUGUGCGGCUAGAAUGCGGAAGGGGCAACUGGAAUUCUUGGUGUAGCGGUGAAAUGCGUAGAUAUCAAGAGGAACACCUGCGGCGAAGGCGGGUUGCUGGGCCGACACUGACGCUGAGGCGCGAAAGCUAGGGGAGCGAACGGG